rnacentral:rRNA from 1 species
GCUUGCUUCUUAUGAAAGUGGCGCACGGGUGCGUAACGCGUAUGCAACCUACCUUAAUCAGGGGGAUAGCCCGAAGAAAUUCGGAUUAAGACCGCAUAAAAACACAGGAUAGCAUUAUCCAAUGUUCAAAUAUUUAUAGGAUUAAGAUGGGCAUGCGUGUCAUUAGCUAGUUGGCGGGGUAACGGCCCACCAAGGCGACGAUGACUAGGGGAUCUGAGAGGAUGACCCCCCACACUGGUACUGAGACACGGACCAGACUCCUACGGGAGGCAGCAGUAAGGAAUAUUGGUCAAUGGAGGGAACUCUGAACCAGCCAUGCCGCGUGCAGGAAGACAGCCCUCUGGGUCGUAAACUGCUUUUAUUCGGGAAUAAACCUUUCUACGUGUAGGAAGCUGAAUGUACCGAAGGAAUAAGGAUCGGCUAACUCCGUGCCAGCAGCCGCGGUAAUACGGAGGAUCCAAGCGUUAUCCGGAUUUAUUGGGUUUAAAGGGUGCGUAGGCGGCUUAUUAAGUCAGGGGUGAAAGACGGUGGCUCAACCAUCGCAGUGCCCUUGAUACUGAUGAGCUUGAAUACACUAGAGGUAGGCGGAAUGUGACAAGUAGCGGUGAAAUGCAUAGAUAUGUCACAGAACACCGAUUGCGAA